CCCACCAGCGAUGGCCAGGCCUGCUGCUCUUGGGGUGGCAGAGGGAACUCAGCCCCAACAAGGUGACAGAAAACCCGGCUCGCAGCGUGUUAUCUUUCUCUCUAGAAGUAGUAAUAGCCACUUCACCCCCGACGGUACUUUCAGCAGAAUAAAAUUGUUUUUCCAAAGUCUGUUUAUCAGCUUUCCACCAAAGCCACUCUCCUCACAGUGCAGUCUCUCCCAUUUCUUUCCCACUUUCCAUUCCACCCAGUUAUCUUCUGCCUCCCUCCCCCUGCCUCAUUCCUCCCAUACCCCCUUCAUUAUCUCCUCGCUAACAAGCUCCUGCCCUCCUGAAAGGUUUCAUAACUAAACUCUGGCAGUCACUUCUUGCACACAUUUGCAGACAAAAAGGAAUUCCGAUUCCUCCAUCCCUAGAUGAGCCAGAGAGCAACAUCAGCGCCCUUACCCCAUUUAGGAAACCAAGUUGGGGCCUCUCCUUCCUCUGGGAUCUGGGAAAUAUUGUUGUAAUGAUUGCCCUUUCCCUAUUCUGGCCGCCCAUGGAGCGGAUGGUUCCCAGCAUUACUGGCAGCAGAGAGUCUGAUAGCAGGGAAGGACAAUAGGGGCUUAAUUUCAUUCAGUUGCAAACCAUUAUUUAUUACUUACUAUUUUUGCAGAGUGUCUGUGAUGUGCAAUGAAGAGGCUGAUGUUCCUUAAAGUGAGUGCCAUGCACUGAAACAGCUGAAUACCCUGGUGAAGCAAUCAUGUUAAACAUUACAGAUAUCCCCAUCUUGUUUAAAUUAAAAUUGUCGCUGUAAUGUCAGCAAUACCCAUACAAACUACAAGCAAACACACAGCUGUGUUCCAUAUUACCACUCAGUUUUACUGAUGUCUUUUGCCUAUCCUCUGAUGUGAUUUUUUUUCAUUGUCUCUGUUCUUAAAAUGCUUAAGACUCCUCUUAAGCUACUGCAUUUUAUGUAAUAUGGUGGUGAUGAUGUACUUGUACAGAACUUGUAAAGAUACUGGAUGUCACUCAUCCUUCUGCAAUUCAACCUGCAGCAUCCUACAAUUGACUGGACAAACUCUUCUAGGGCCAGAUGCCCCCAACAUCUGGCAGAAGGACAGCAUAAUUACAUAAAUACCUCCACAUCCUAUGAUCCAGAGCAAACACCUGCUGAUGUUAAUGGGAGGAGAGAGGAUUACGGUUCCUACAGUCAGCUUUUUUGCCCUGUAAAUCAGCUUUCUGACCUCUGUUUCACUUUAUUUAGCUCCCUACCAAUACAGCACUAAUGGUAUGUAACACUCAGUGCUUGUUCACUGCCGUGUGCUCCUGUCUGCUAGGAACCAGGUAGAGAUGAGCAACUGAUUUCUGAUACCUUGCUCAGCUGCCAUAUAAAUAUCAGCUGUGACACAGCCUAGAUAGGAAAUCACAACUUCAGUUUUAAAGGUUUUUAUCCAUAUUGCUGUGUCAUUGCCCACAGAUUACAGUCCGUGCCAGACAGCACCGUAACCUCAAAAAGUGGUCCUCUGGCAGCCACACUUGGAGGUGCCCUCUCACCACGUCCAAUCUGUCUGGAAAAUACAUCUUCAUUUCUUCAGUUCCUUUCUGUAAUGGCCAGAAAGUGGUGAUACAGUAAUAGAUAUUCUCUUCCCUUCUAUACCACUUUGAAGAUGUUCCUUUAUCAAAAAUGUUCCUAGACGUCUAGUUUUACUGAAAAUGGCCAAUUAGCAAUGAGAUACUAGCAACUGCUAAUACUGUGUUAUCUCACCGCAGGUUACCAAGAUAAAUGCCAGCGAUACGGCUCUAUUUCAUAAUCAGCAGCAGAACAGAACUGGCAAGCCUAGACUGAUCUCUGUGGCAGGCACUGACAAAAAUCUUACUAAUUCCAGCUUCCAUUAUGCAGCCUGAUCCAGUCCUAAUAACGUCACUGCAAAAGCUCCCAUGCAUUCGACCUUAGUCAGCAUUUUGUGUUAGUUUAACCACAUCAGAAGAGUGGUCUGCUUGUCAAAAAACAAACCCAGGAAUGUCUUGCAGAGGAAAACACGAAAGGAGCACAACCUUGGUUACUGCAUGCUCUUCGAUGGACACAACCUCCUCAACUUUUAUCUCUUAUAAAGAAAUAGCAGAACCAAGGAUGAAAUCAAUUAGUGGUACAGGAUCCCUGAUGCAAUCUGAUGCUAAUCAGCACAAUACCAAACUUUACAAUACGUUAAAGUCCUCAAUAACAGACUGUAAAUUAAUGAAGCUUCUUGAAGUUUAUUAUACUACAAAUGAUGUUGUACUUCUGUAGCUUCAAAUAGUAACUCAGACAGCCGGAUAUACAUACAUCAAGUAAUAUUUAUAGCCUUGGCAAUGAUCUUUAUCUCUUUGGGGGUCCUACAACUCUGGAAUUUGUUUUCUAUCACGGGCUAAAUGUCCCGAGUCUGAUGUUGCAAGUCUGAGUUACUUCUGGAAGGGAAGAAAAGAUCUGAGGUUUUCCACUGCUUGUUUUCCUAACAGCAGACUGCAGUGAAUUGCACACUGAUUCUGUGGUUGAAGUUAUGUGAAAAGUACCAAGGACAUAUGAGUAGGUGUCCUCUUUUACAUCUAAGUAAACAAACAAAUACUUUGGAGAGAAAAACAAGAAUCACUGUGAACGAGGACAAAAUGUUCCAGCUUGUUCCCUGGCACGCUCUCCUUGCUGGUUAUUUCUAUAUGCAAAUGAUCAUCAUUUUAAGGUAGCUUUAAUAGGGAUGAGUGGUAAAGCUGCUUCACUCUUGCCCAGCUUAUUGAGAGAUUGGCACCUAUCUGUUCACCCUCGCAGUUUCCUGAAGCCCUGGGAAAGGAUCACUCCACGUUUUGCCAGCAGCAGAGCGCUGCUGUCUCGCAUUAGUUGGGGCCAAAUUCUUUCACUUUUGUUCCCAGUGAUUAAUGCUGAAAUAAACAGGACUUCUUGCAGAAUUCGAUGUGCGAAGGCUCAAAGUAUGCUCAGAUACAGACUCCAGUAACAAAGUAUCUGCUGUUUGACUGCACUCCACCUCCCUUGCUGGAACUAGCAUGGAGGAGAUGGGGGCAGGGGGGAAUUAAGAUUUUUUUUCUGUUCACAUGACAAAUGGUUGUAUAUUAUUAAUAAGAAGUUGUAAUACCAAAGCACCUAGAACCAGAAACUGGAUGGAGCAAAUAUACAAUCUUUGCCCUUAGGAGAUUGUAAACUAAGCAUAAGAUACCAGUGGAGAGAAGGGUAGGAAGGGAAAAGUACAAGAGAACGAUAAAACAAUGCUGGCCACUGUUAUAACUGCUGGUGUUAGCAUGCCAGAAUUCAUUUUUGGAGGCACUGACACGAAGCAAGUUAGCAAGAGGGUCUCACAGGAGGUUAAUGCGAUAUCGUAAUAUAUUCAGAGGACCGACUCCCAAGCACGAGGGGCAGCUUCAGAGAAGGCGUGCCAGUGCAUAUUUGAAAAUGUAAUGGGCAGACAAUGAGAGCUGGCAUCCCGUGCAGACAGACUGUGGGAAUCGAGCUUUUAAUAUUGAGCGAAUGAUAGAUAGAUAGAGGAAGGGCCUUCAGCCGUCAGCCAAGCAGCCUCCGCUGGAUGCCACACAAAGGCAGAGCGAGCUGCAAUGAAUGGUGAUAGGCAGAGGGCUGCCAGUGUUUUUGUGUUUGGGAUGCACUCAGGUAGAGCAGACAAUGUCUAUCAAGGCAGAGUAAGUGAGGAUAAGGAUAAGAUGGCAAACAGGAGGUAGAAGUUCUUCCUAGGGCAACCAUGAAUUUUCACCCGAAAAACUCCUCCAGACAGAAAAUUCAUUUCUUAAAGAAUAA